AACCCUUACCAUUCCGGUUUGCAGUGGGGCCUCCAUUGAUUGUUUCGGACUAGGGAGCAGGUCUGGUAGCCUGCAGUCCUGGAAAUCGAGGAGCAGAAGGGACCAGAAGAAGAUGUCAAUCAAACCUACCCAGCCCUGACCACAAGCUCUUCCCCUAUCUCGUCUCAAAAGCCACGCCCCCUAGAUACCUUUGGCAGGAGUGACUCCAUCCGCCGGGGUUGGGGUGAGAGCGUCUAGAGGGGGUACUGCUAGACAGAAGGAUAGGGGCAAAUUGACCACCCAGCCUAGAUCAAGGGGUGAGACCGGCCCCAGUUCCUUGAUCUACUUCACUUACACAUAAGGCCGACCAGACUCCCCAGCGCCUGCACCCAGUGGCCAAAGGGUAGCGGUCCUGCCACCCACAGUUAGCAGCUCGCUGCAGGUGCCCUUAAGCCAUGUUCUCUUCUGGCAGUGGCUCCUUCCUUAGCCCGGCCUUCCAUAAGUCUGACUACUCUUGAUACCCUCAGGCGAGACCCCCUCCUACACCCCGUAAAGACUCUCUGUCCCACUCCAGGAGAAACCAGGACCUGUAAGCCAGGAGGCUGAGGCGACCAUUGGACUUCGGGCUCCUGACCCAAGCCUGCCCCAUCAAGGAAGCUGGGGCGUAGAGGAGCACUUCUGUGGGAUCUAUUGAAAAGGGGGCUCUAGGGCAAUCGGUGUAAGGUCGAAUCUGGCUAGCGAUGCGGAAACACCGGGACCAGGAACUUAGGGAUGGGGGUGGGGUAGUAUUGGAGCAUCAAAAAGUCGGGACCUACCCGGAAUCAGGACAAAUCGAUCAGGGGCAAAGCCGAAGCUUGCUAAUGGUCCUCGAAGGAACACCUUUGCUCCAUCAAUGGAAACUCGGACCACUCAGGAGCUGCAACCAGGUCCACCCAGCGUCGGCCAACACCCCUAGUUUUCUGUCCGCCGCCUCGGACGCGGCACCUUUAAAUUAUUCUGCUGCAGGGCACGCCCCAUCCCCGCCUCCCGCCAUGGUUGGAAGGUCGCACUGCGCCAGCCAUGCCUAGUGUGGCGGCCUCUUAAAGGAGCUGACAAUUUAUGAAAGGGCUGCCUCACCAGUUACAAAUUAGACCACCGCAUUUAUGUUCCCUUUUAUUUAACAGCCACCCUCCAUGCCCUCCCUUCCCCAGUGUCCGAUUCGAUCUGCCCAAGCCCUCACAAGGCCUGUCAGAAGCAGAUCUUUUAAAGCGAAUUCUAAAAAUAAAUAAGCUGGGGUCCCAGCAGUACAUGGGGAUAAA